rnacentral:tRNA from 1 species
GCGCUCUUAGUUCAGUUCGGUAGAACGUAGGUCUCCAAAACCUAAUGUCGUAGGUUCGAAUCCUACAGAGCGUG